rnacentral:lncRNA from 1 species
UACCGAUUUGUUGCCAUAGAUAUUGAAAGAAACCUACAAGAACAAAGAAAGAACAAGACCACAUGCAUUAGAAUAACAAGUGUGAGGUGUAUAAGCCGUUAGAAAAUAAAUUUAAAAUUCUAGUGCUGUCAAUACAUUGAUAAUAUAUAUAUAUAUAUAUAUAUAUAUAUAUAUAUGUAUGUAUGUAUUAUUUUUUCUGAAAAUUUAACUUUUCCCGUCCAAACUCAUUUUUCUAGUCUCUAGCCCAACAUAUAAUAUUUAUCUGAAUAAAACCAAAUGAUUAGGAUCCAACUAAGAAACUUACCAAAUUAAGUUUGUGUGUCCAUUUUUAUAUUUUUUGGAUCCCUAAUAUACCCCAUCUAAGCCAGUAUGGAAAGGUCUUGUAAUUUUGCUUUAAGUGAUUACGUGCAUUGAAUUUGGCAAGGUCUUAUAGCCAUGAAAUAUGGUUCUAGAUGGAGGAAUUAAUUUGGAAUUUUUUUUAAUUUCGACAACAAAUUUCAAUUUGAAUAUACCUAAUUUAGUGUUUAUUUUCAACAAUAAAUGUGCCUACUUUUUAAAUUUGUAACAAAAUUAAUUUACCUACUUUUUAUGGUAUUAGUGACACACCCUGUCCCGAAGGAGGGCAUGCUGGCCGUCACGAGAGAGUGACGUAACCAUUUGCACAGUACGGAAGCUUUAAGAUACAAUUUAUAAGUUGAUACACCCGAAGGUGAGUCCUAAUUUUUGUCCAAUCUGUCAGAACACCGUCAAAUUCCUCGUAGUCACCACACCUUUGUGAUUCCUGAACCUGGAGGGGCGCAAAACCAAAAUUGAGUGGGUCAGUAAAACAAUUCUUUUCCAAAUCCAAACAUUUCUCAAAACGUUGUAACCCUCUCCGUAAAACUUGUAUACUUUCCCAGAAAUGUAAAAUAUAAAUAUACAUAUAUAUUCUCAAACUUCAUUUUUACUAUCUCAACAUUUUUCUUUAUCAAACAUGCCAUGCCAUGUCUAAUUCAACAGUUAAGUAUGGAUGCAUCAACAAUAAUCAUAUCAGGUGCAAGAAAGUAAUCAACCGGAGGCCCUCUAAUAGCCCUGUACGGUUGAACCUAGAGCUCAAAAUCUAUCACUCUCACUCUGCCGGGAGUCACCUCUGUGACCUGUCCGGCCUUCUGCACACAAGUUACGCUCUAGUGCUUUCUCAUCAAUCAUCUGUGCACAUAAUCUAAGGUCACCCACCAGUCGAAAUCUCACUAACACUCUUCGACUGGCCCGUCGCACCCACUCCGCGUGGACUGUGCGACCAGCAUCUACUUGGAUCCAAGGCGAGCGUGCGAUGCGGUGAAUACUAUAAGCACUAAACCAUGGUGCAGGAUUUGAGCUCAAUAUAUAUCAACAUCAUCAUAACAGUACUUAAAUACUCACCUGAUACUCACCUGUGCGUCCGCCGCACCAAUUCAUACAUAUGCAUCAUAUUUCAAUUCAUAUCAUUUCAUGCAUGGCAAUUCGAUUCACAUUUCUAUAUACAUUUCAUAUACUUCUAUGCAUGACCUUUCAAUUCACGUUUUCAUAUAAUUCUAUAUACCUUUCAUUUAAAACAUAAUUUCAUUCUAAUUCAAUUUCUGGGAAAACGUCAAGUAUAUAUAUACGGAAAACAAAACUGCCCACUCACCUGGAGUUCGUCCAACAACUCCCUAGCACCACACAUCAAGGCGUCAUGACGAUCGCCGUCUAGAACAGUAAUCAAAUCCAGCCUCAGAAUUCAUAUCGAUAGAACAUAUAACUUAUAUAAAAUAUGUCACUACGUAGAUCGAUCCGGAAGAUCUGCCACUCAGAUUUUAAAUCCAUAACUUCCAGAGGUCCACAAUAUAUCUCUAGGAUAACAUCCUAAAAUUUCAUUACCAUCCAACGGUCGGAUCUCCGUCAAUUUCCAAAACUAAGUGACGGUUAACAUUUUAUUUUAUGAACUUACAAUUCUAAUUCCGGAAGAUCCGUAACUCGGAUUCCCAAUCCGUAAGUUCCAAUAAUCCUCAAAUAUUACGUAUUACAACGUAUCAAAGUUUGGUAACGAUCCAACGGUCGGAUCAUCAAUUCACAUUUUCACCUAAUGCGAAAACUAUAAAACGUUAUUCGAACACCUAACCAACAAUCCUUAAUAACUUUCUCAUACGGUGUUCAAUUUGGGUAUAUGAAUAUACCACAGUGAUCUACUCAUUAAAAUAAUUUUUUACUGUAGCACGCGCCCCCACGCGCCAAGGAAGGCACGGACCUACGCGCCCCCACGCGCACCUUCUUCUUCCUUGGGUCGCCGGACUGGUUUUUCCGGCGGCCGUUUUUCAAAUUGCCAUAACUUUGUCAUUUCUCAACGAAAUCAAGUGAUUCAAAAACGAAAGUUGUAGCCCUUGAAGAGACAAAGAGAAUGGUACCUUGCACAACACCUAGUUCGCCGUGGUUUGGCCGGAAACUGCUUCGAAAGCCUCGGAGGUCGCCAGAAACUGGGUAUUUUUCAAAUCAGUAUAACUUCUUCAAUACUCAACGAAAUUGAGUGAAACAAAAAGGAAAGUUGUAGUACUUGACGAGACGAAGAGAUUGAUACCUACCUCGACUCCUAACUCACCGGAUAUUCGCCGGAAAAUGCCUCGAAAGCUCCGGCCAAACUUUGAACUUGUCGAUCUCCGUGUUCUUACAUCCAAAAACUUCCAACGAAGCACUCCGAGCUUCCUUGGGACCUCACUAAGCUCGCUAUGAUCUUGUUUUAGCCUAAAACGUAGUCAUUUAGAAGAUCAUGAACAAUACCAUUUCACGGGAACUUUGAAACUAGGGUUUUCCGAAGCAAAACUUACCUGAAAUGGAUACCAUCGUGAUCGUGGAGGUUCCAGGAGUUUGAUGGUGGUCUUAACUCUGUCGUUGGUGGAAGUUUAAGGUUGUUUUGUGGUUGGUUUGUUCGAACGGAGAAGAAGAGUGACAGAGAGAGUGAGAGAGUCGUGAGGGAAGAGAGAGAGAGACAGCAUGCAGAAAAUAGGGAGAGGAUUGAGGGGUGUGGGGAUCCCACGUGGUCCUUUUCCAAUCCCCAACUCCAAACCAUAAAAUUUUAACCUAAAAAUCUAAGUUCAAUCCUUAAUAAAUUCCAUUUUAUUUUCAAAACUUAGGAACCUAGAUAAUUAUCAACUUGAGCUUCACAUACUUAGUAUUUCUUAAGGGCAAUUUCGUUCAUUCACAGCCACGAAUGUAAUAUUUUGGAACGGGCUGUGACAAUUAGUAUACAUAAAUGUAGAAUAUAUGUCCGUAUAUAUUUGAUCCAAUUAGUAUUAGGGAGAAUGACAAGUCAUCCAAGUCUGCUACUGUUAAUAAUUCUGUUACUGUAAAUUAACUGAUUGUAUUAGUUGUGAUUAGUUAAGAUAGUUAUAAAGUAGUUAGGGGUAUCUAUGUAAAUAGCCAAAGGCUAUAUAUAUUCCUACACAAUGUGUAAAGUUCUCAGUCAAGUAAAUACAAUCAAGAAAACUUACUGUUGAAGUUUUCUGUUUCUACAUGGUAUCACGCCAUUCCGCUUCACAGCUUCGAUCUUUCUCUUCGCUUGCUGCAUCGAUCGACUCUUGAUCGAUUUUUCUUCUCUGAUCUUCUCUUCGCUUGCUGCAUCGAUCGACUCAUGAUCGAUUUUUCUUCUCUGAUCGUCACUUCUUCCCUUCCGAUCUUGUAGUAUUUUCUUGAUUUCUGUCAGUAAUGGCGGCUCAAUCGACUGGUUCAUCUUCUCCGGUCAUCUCCCCCUCGAGCCCAAACCCUAAUUUUCUCUGGAAACCCUAAUUCCUCUGGAAAUCCGAGUCCUCUGACUUCCUACACUUCUCUCUCACAAUUCAUAACAUCGGCAGCAUGGUGCCGAUCAAGCUCAAAAGAUCCAAUUACCUACCAUGGCGCGCCCUGUUUGGCCCGAUUUUCCGGCGAUACAAGCUUCUUGGAGUAAUCGAUGGUACUGACGUCUGUCCAUCGCCAUUUCUGCCUGAUCGUAGCAUCAAUCCUGCUUUUGAGGACUGGUAUGAGAAAGAUCAAAAUCUUUUUGAUCUGGUUGAAUUCCACACUUUCUGAGGAAAUCAUCCCGUUCACGGUUGGGGUUUCAUCCUCUCGAGAACUUUGGGUAAAGCUUGAACAGCGCUUUGGUGGAAUUUCAGAGGCUCAUAUCCAUCAGUUGCGAUCGCGCCUUCAAUCUGUUCAGAAAGGAUCGCGUUCUAUCUCUGACUAUCUUCAAGAACUCAAGGAAAUUUCAGAUUCUCUGCAAGCUGCUGGUGCUUCUGUCUCUGAUCGAGAUCUUAUCGCCGCCACACUACAUGGCUUGCCUGAUGAAUUUGAGUCUUUCAUCGACUGUAUCAUGCUCCGAUUGUCCUCUACCUCUCUGAUGAACUUCAUGGCCUCCUUCUCACAAAGGAAUUGUCUAUGGCCAGACGCAAAACUGUCAGUUCAUCUCCUGUCCCUGAAUCUUUUCAGGCUUUCUCGGUGCAGUCUCAGCCUCAUCUCCUUCCUACUCCAUCUGCUUUUGCUGCUCAGAAUCUCCCUCUUCAAUCUGCAUCUCGGUUCAACUCUAAUCGUGGCAGGAACACUAAGGGCCAGUUCUUUUCCAAUCGAGGUCAUCGAGGUAAUCGUGGUAAUUUUCCUAAUAAACCGUGGCAAUCGAGGUUAUCAAGGAUUUCGCAGCAAUCAAGGCUCUUCUCACUUCAAAGUGCUUUGUCAAAUCUGUGGUUCUACCAGUCAUGAGGCUAUUGACUGCUUUGAUCGUAUGAAUCCUGACAUCUUGUGGUCGUAUUCCUCCAGCUAAGCUUGCUGCCAUGUGUGCCACAACAUUCUGCUAAACCAUCUCAGCCUUGGUUAAUUGAUUCAGGGGCAACCUCUCAUAUCACUAAUGAUGUUGCUAACCUCACCUCUCCUACUCCCUACACUGGCGAGGAUUAAAGUGUAUAUUGGAGAUGGUAAAGGUUUAUCCAUCCUCAAUGUUGGUUCAUCUACUCUGCACACCUCUCAUAAUUCUUUUCAAUUGCGAAAUGUUUUACAUGUUCCCCACAUAACCCAUAAUCUUAUCUGCUUAUCAGUUUUGUUAAUGAUAAUAAUUGUUCAUUGACACUUGACCCUUAUGGAUCCUAUGUCAAGGAUCGUAUUUCGGGGAAGAUGCUUUUACGGGGACCGGUUAGAGAUGGCUUCUAUCCUCUUCAAAGUUCCAGCAAUCUUCAUCCUCUUUCACAUACCGCUUUACUUAGUAUUAAAGCUCCAGUUACAAUUUGGCACAAGCGUUUGGGUCACCCUUCCUCCUCCAUUUUUAGAAGGCUCCUUUCAUCCAAUAAUCUUGCUUUACAAGGCAAGUCUACUGUGGACUUUUUCUGUUCGGAUUGUGCUCUUGCCAAGAAUCAUAAGCUUCCAUUUAAAGCUGCUACUUCAUCAUCAACUCACAGCCUUCAACUACUGCACUGUGAUCUGUGGGGACCUGCCUCAAUCACAUCAAGUAGUGGUUUUCAAUAUUAUUUGCUCAUUGUUGAUGACUAUAGCAAAUAUAGUUGGUUCUUUCCUUUGAAAUCUAAGUCAGAUGUAUUUUCUACAUUUGUUGUCUUCAAAUCAUAUGUAGAAAAUUCACUUGGAAAUAAAAUAAAGGUUCUGCGUUCAGAUUCAGGGGGUGAAUUUACUAGUCACUCUUUUGCAUCAUAUCUCAGCAAACAUGGCAUUCUUCAUCAGUUCAGUUGUCCCCACACCCCUGAGCAAAAUGGUUGUGCAGAAAGAAAGCACAGGCACCUUGUUGAAAACAGCUCGCACUUUGCUUCUUGCAUUCUCAUGUCCCUCAUAUUUUCUGGGUUGAAGCAUUCUCCACUGCUAUCUAUCUUAUUAAUCGCCUUCCUAUUUCUGGCAUUUCACAGUCCCCUUGGCAGUUGCUAUUUCACAACCAUCCAGACUACUCUAAGCUCAAAGUAUUUGGUUGCCAAUGCUUUCCUUGGCUCAAACCUUACUUUCAUAGCAAAUUGGAUCCCAAGAGCAAAAAGUGUGUUUUCUUGGGGUAUAGUCUUCAACACAAAGGCUAUAGGUGCCUUGAUCCUAUCACCAAUCGCAUCUACAUCUCUCGUCAUGUCUGUAUUCGAUGAAAGUACUUAUCCAUUUCAGUUGUCCCACAUUCAACACUCUUUUCCUGUUCCAAGUCCUCCAUCUUCCUCACCAACAAUUUCUUCCUCUCUGGAUCUUCAUUUUUUAGCAAACACAUUCCUCCUGUUUUCAGUCAGCCAUCUACAUCACCAUUAUGUGCUUCUGUGCCUGUUCCUAUUUCUUCAUCUUCAUCUUCCCCUGCACCUGUCUCAGUUGGCUCUUCUUUCCAGUUUUGUUCCUCCUUCAGCACAUUCAUCUUUCUCCCAAAAUCAACAGAGUCAUCCUCCUGCCCCUGUUAAUUCUCAUCCAAUGAUUACUAGAUCCAAGGCUGGUAUACUCACGUCGAGAGCCUGUGCAGCAACUAAGCACCCACUUCCGGUUGAUAUGGAUUAUGUUCCUACAACAUACUUGCAAGCUUCUAAGCAUGCUCAUUGGAGGCAAGCUAUGCAAGAUGAAUUUAAUGCCUUGCUAACCACUGGUUACUUUGGUCUCUUGUUCCUUCUCACCAUUCUCAAAACUUAGUGGGCUGCAAGUGGGUUUUCCGGAUUAAGAAGAAGCCCGAUGGCACUGUUGACAGAUAUAAAGCCCGGCUUGUGGCCAAGGGUUUUCAUCAACAAGAAGGUAUUGACUUUUCAAGAAAACCUUCAGUCCAGUUGCCAAACCGGUUACAAUUCGGAUCCUUCUUACCCUUUGCUGUGCAAUAUAAUUGGUUUCUCAAUCAAUUGGACAUUAGUAAUGCCUUUCUUCAUGGAGACUUAAAGAGAGGAUGUCUACAUGCAACAACCCCCUGGUUUUGUUGAUCCCUUUACCCUACAUUUUGUAAGUUGAGGAAAUCGUUGUAUGGUCUCAAACAAGCUCCUCGAGCUUGGUUUGAUAAACUGUUCCAAGCUCUUCCUCUCUUGGAUUCACCCAAUCAUCCUCAGAUGCUUCUUUAUUUGUUCUCAAUGGUCCUCAGUUUAGUCAUUGUCCUUGUCUAUGUUGAUGACAUUCUUGUCACCGGACCCUAUCCUUACCUCUGUCAACACUUCAUUCAGCAACUUGGGGCUCAAUUUCCAGUAAAAGACCUUGGUCCUCUUCAUUAUUUCUUGGGAUUAGAAGUACAUCGAUCUUCCCAGGGUAUAUUUCUCCAUCAAACAAAGUACUUAUUGGAUCUUCUCAAGAAAACAAAUAUGGAGGGUGCAAAACCUUGUUGUACUCCCCUUGGCUCUAAGAAAUUAGAUCACAGUGGCCCUCUUCUGUCCAAUCCUACUGAAUAUCGCUCCAUUGUUGGUGGUUUACAAUAUCUUACUUGGACUAGACCCGACCUUGCUUUUGCUGUGAACCAAAUCUGCCAAUUCAUGCAUGCUCCCAGGGAACAACAUCUCCAGGCAGCAAAAAGGGUUCUCAGAUUUCUCAAAGGCUCUAUCUCACAUGGUGUGUGGUUCACUAAAGGCCCUGUCCAUCUUUCUGCCUACUCGGAUGCCGACUGGGCUGGUUGCACAAUUGACAGGAGAUCAACCACUGGUUAUUGUGUAUUUUUGGGUUCCAAUCUUAUCAGCUGGAGUGCCAAGAAGCAAAGUACUGUUGCCAAGGUCCUCUACAGAGGCUGAAUAUCGCUCCUUAGCUCACACAGCUGCUGAGAUAACUUGGGUUUGCAGAUUCUCAAAGAUCUGCACUAUCCUCUCUCUUACAUUCCCUACUUUUGGUGUGACAACAUAUCAGCAAUAUCUUUAGCAUCUAAUCCUGUCUUUCAUGCUCGAACAAAGCAUGUUGAGAUCGAUUAUCNGAAGUUUUCUGUUUUCUACAUGGUAUCACGCCAUUCCGCUUCACAGCUUCGAUCUUUCUCUUCGCUUGCUGCAUCGAUCGACUCUUGAUCGAUUUUUCUUCUCUGAUCUUCUCUUCGCUUGCUGCAUCGAUCGACUCAUGAUCGAUUUUUCUUCUCUGAUCGUCACUUCUUCCCUUCCGAUCUUGUAGUAUUUCUUGAUUUCUGUCAGUAAUGGCGGCUCAAUCGACUGGUUCAUCUUCUCCGGUCAUCUCCCCCUCGAGCCCAAACCCUAAUUUCUCUGGAAACCCUAAUUCCUCUGGAAAUCCGAGUCCUCUGGACUUCCUACACUUCUCUCACAAUUCAUAACAUCGGCAGCAUGGUGCCGAUCAAGCUCAAAAGAUCCAAUUACCUACCAUGGCGCGGCCCUGUUUGGCCCGAUUUUCCGGCGAUACAAGCUUCUUGGAGUAAUCGAUGGUACUGACGUCUGUCCAUCGCCAUUUCUGCCUGAUCGUAGCAUCAAUCCUGCUUUUGAGGACUGGUAUGAGAAAGAUCAAAAUCUUUUGAUCUGGUUGAAUUCCACACUUUCUGAGGAAAUCAUCCCGUUCACGGUUGGGGUUUCAUCCUCUCGAGAACUUUGGGUAAAGCUUGAACACAGCGCUUUGGUGGAAUUUCAGAGGCUCAUAUCCAUCAGUUGCGAUCGCGCCUUCAAUCUGUUCAGAAAGGAUCGCGUUCUAUCUCUGACUAUCUUCAAGAACUCAAGGAAAUUUCAGAUUCUCUGCAAGCUGCUGGUGCUUCUGUCUCUGAUCGAGAUCUUAUCGCCGCCACACUACAUGGCUUGCCUGAUGAAUUUGAGUCUUUCAUCGACUGUAUCAUGCUCCGAUUGUCCUCUACCUCUCUUGAUGAACUUCAUGGCCUCCUUCUCACAAAGGAAUUGUCUAUGGCCAGACGCAAAAACUGUCAGUUCAUCUUCCUGUCCCUGAAUCUUUUCAGGCUUUCUCGGUGCAGUCUCAGCCUCAUCUCCUUCCUACUCCAUCUGCUUUUGCUGCUCAGAAUCUCCCUCUUCAAUCUGCAUCUCGGUUCAACUCUAAUCGUGGCAGGAACACUAAGGGCCAGUUCUUUUCCAAUCGAGGUCAUCGAGGUAAUCGUGGUAAUUUUCCUAAUAACCGUGGCAAUCGAGGUUAUCAAGGAUUUCGCAGCAAUCAAGGCUCUUCUCACUUCAAAGUGCUUUGUCAAAUCUGUGGUUCUACCAGUCAUGAGGCUAUUGACUGCUUUGAUCGUAUGAAUCCUGACAUCUGUGGUCGUAUUCCUCCAGCUAAGCUUGCUGCCAUGUGUGCACAACAUUCUGCUAAACCAUCUCAGCCUUGGUUAAUUGAUUCAGGGGCAACCUCUCAUAUCACUAAUGAUGUUGCUAACCUCACCUCUCCUACUCCCUACACUGGCGAGGAUAAAGUGUAUAUUGGAGAUGGUAAAGGUUUAUCCAUCCUCAAUGUUGGUUCAUCUACUCUGCACACCUCUCAUAAUUCUUUUCAAUUGCGAAAUGUUUUACAUGUUCCCCACAUAACCCAUAAUCUCUUAUCUGCUUAUCAGUUUGUUAAUGAUAAUAAUUGUUCAUUGACACUUGACCCUUAUGGAUCCUAUGUCAAGGAUCGUAUUUCGGGGAAGAUGCUUUUACGGGGACCGGUUAGAGAUGGCUUCUAUCCUCUUCAAAGUUCCAGCAAUCUUCAUCCUCUUUCACAUACCGCUUUACUUAGUAUUAAAGCUCCAGUUACAAUUUGGCACAAGCGUUUGGGUCACCCUUCCUCCUCCAUUUUUAGAAGGCUCCUUUCAUCCAAUAAUCUUGCUUUACAAGGCAAGUCUACUGUGGACUUUUUCUGUUCGGAUUGUGCUCUUGCCAAGAAUCAUAAGCUUCCAUUUAAAGCUGCUACUUCAUCAUCAACUCACAGCCUUCAACUACUGCACUGUGAUCUGUGGGGACCUGCCUCAAUCACAUCAAGUAGUGGUUUUCAAUAUUUAUUUGCUCAUUGUUGAUGACUAUAGCAAAUAUAGUUGGUUCUUUCCUUUGAAAUCUAAGUCAGAUGUAUUUUCUACAUUUGUUGUCUUCAAAUCAUAUGUAGAAAAUUCACUUGGAAAUAAAAUAAAGGUUCUGCGUUCAGAUUCAGGGGGUGAAUUUACUAGUCACUCUUUUGCAUCAUAUCUCAGCAAACAUGGCAUUCUUCAUCAGUUCAGUUGUCCCCACACCCCUGAGCAAAAUGGUUGUGCAGAAAGAAAGCACAGGCACCUUGUUGAAACAGCUCGCACUUUGCUUCUUGCAUCUCAUGUCCCUCAUAUUUUCUGGGUUGAAGCAUUCUCCACUGCUAUCUAUCUUAUUAAUCGCCUUCCUAUUUCUGGCAUUUCACAGUCCCCUUGGCAGUUGCUAUUUCACAACCAUCCAGACUACUCUAAGCUCAAAGUAUUUGGUUGCCAAUGCUUUCCUUGGCUCAAACCUUACUUUCAUAGCAAAUUGGAUCCCAAGAGCAAAAAGUGUGUUUUCUUGGGGUAUAGUCUUCAACACAAAGGCUAUAGGUGCCUUGAUCCUAUCACCAAUCGCAUCUACAUCUCUCGUCAUGUUGUAUUCGAUGAAAGUACUUAUCCAUUUCAGUUGUCCCACAUUCAACACUCUUUUCCUGUUCCAAGUCCUCCAUCUUCCUCACCAACAAUUUCUUCCUCUCUGGAUCUUCAUUUUAGCAAACACAUUCCUCCUGUUUUCAGUCAGCCAUCUACAUCACCAUUAUGUGCUUCUGUGCCUGUUCCUAUUUCUUCAUCUUCAUCUUCCCCUGCACCUGUCUCAGUUGGCUCUUCUUCCAGUUUUGUUCCUCCUUCAGCACAUUCAUCUUUCUCCCAAAAUCAACAGAGUCAUCCUCCUGCCCCUGUUAAUUCUCAUCCAAUGAUUACUAGAUCCAAGGCUGGUAUACUCACGUCGAGAGCCUGUGCAGCAACUAAGCACCCACUUCCGGUUGAUAUGGAUUAUGUUCCUACAACAUACUUUGCAAGCUUCUAAAGCAUGCUCAUUGGAGGCAAGCUAUGCAAGAUGAAUUUAAUGCCUUGCUAACCACUGGUUACUUGGUCUCUUGUUCCUUCUCACCAUUCUCAAAACUUAGUGGGCUGCAAGUGGGUUUUCCGGAUUAAGAAGAAGCCCGAUGGCACUGUUGACAGAUAUAAAGCCCGGCUUGUGGCCAAGGGUUUUCAUCAACAAGAAGGUAUUGACUUUCAAGAAAACCUUCAGUCCAGUUGCCAAACCGGUUACAAUUCGGAUCCUUCUUACCCUUGCUGUGCAAUAUAAUUGGUUUCUCAAUCAAUUGGACAUUAGUAAUGCCUUUCUUCAUGGAGACUUAAAGGAGGAUGUCUACAUGCAACAACCCCCUGGUUUUGUUGAUCCCUUACACCCUACAUCUGUUUGUAAGUUGAGGAAAUCGUUGUAUGGUCUCAAACAAGCUCCUCGAGCUUGGUUUGAUAAACUGUUCCAAGCUCUUCACUCUCUUGGAUUCACCCAAUCAUCCUCAGAUGCUUCUUUAUUUGUUCUCAAUGGUCCUCAGUUUAGUCAUUGUCCUUGUCUAUGUUGAUGACAUUCUUGUCACCGGACCCUAUCCUUACCUCUGUCAACACUUCAUUCAGCAACUUGGGGCUCAAUUUCCAGUAAAAGACCUUGGUCCUCUUCAUUAUUUCUUGGGAUUAGAAGUACAUCGAUCUUCCCAGGGUAUAUUUCUCCAUCAAACAAAGUACUUAUUGGAUCUUCUCAAGAAAACAAAUAUGGAGGGUGCAAAACCUUGUUGUACUCCCCUUGGCUCUAAGAAAUUAGAUCACAGUGGCCCUCUUCUGUCCAAUCCUACUGAAUAUCGCUCCAUUGUUGGUGGUUUACAAUAUCUUACUUGGACUAGACCCGACCUUUGCUUUUGCUGUGAACCAAAUCUGCCAAUUCAUGCAUGCUCCCAGGGAACAACAUCUCCAGGCAGCAAAAAGGGUUCUCAGAUUUCUCAAAGGCUCUAUCUCACAUGGUGUGUGGUUCACUAAAGGCCCUGUCCAUCUUUCUGCCUACUCGGAUGCCGACUGGGCUGGUUGCACAAUUGACAGGAGAUCAACCACUGGUUAUUGUGUAUUUUUGGGUUCCAAUCUUAUCAGCUGGAGUGCCAAGAAGCAAAGUACUGUUGCAAGGUCCUCUACAGAGGCUGAAUAUCGCUCCUUAGCUCACACAGCUGCUGAGAUAACUUGGGUUUGCAAGAUUCUCAAAGAUCUGCACUAUCCUCUCUCUACAUUCCCUACUCUUUGGUGUGACAACAUAUCAGCAAUAUCUUUAGCAUCUAAUCCUGUCUUUCAUGCUCGAACAAAGCAUGUUGAGAUCGAUUAUCACUAUAUUAGAGAAUUGGUUUUGGCUCAACUUCUCAAAGUCAAGUUCAUCUGCAGUGAAGACCAAUUAGCUGAUCUUCACACCAAGUCUCUGUCUAAAACCAGAUUUAAUUAUCUGUGUUCCAAGCUUCCCAUUGGUCUCAUUUCUGAUCCCCCUUCUCGCUUGAGGGGGUGUAUUAGGGAGAAUGACAAGUCAUCCAAGUCUGCUACUGUUAAUAAUUCUGUUACUGUAAAUUAACUGAUUGUAUUAGUUGUGAUUAGUUAAGAUAGUUAUAAAGUAGUUAGGGGUAUCUAUGUAAAUAGCCAAAGGCUAUAUAUAUUCCUACACAAUGUGUAAAGUUCUCAGUCAAGUAAAUACAAUCAAGAAAACUUACUGUUGAAGUUUUCUGUUUCUACAGGUUUUGGAUUGGAGGAGUUGACACAAAAUUAUAAAUAUAUUAAACAAAUUUAUCUAUUCUAAAGUUGGAGGGAAAUUGGCCUGUACAUUGCUACAGUAAUUUUUUUUUACCCAAUUUCACGUUAUUUACAACAAAGCUAUCAGAUUUGGGUUGGGUUGGAGGGUAAUUUGUUAAAAGUUAGGAGGGUAAUUUUGUGCAUAGGGUUUAGGUGCCCUCCUAUACAUGACCCUUGAUUUUACUUUAUUUACACCACUGCCAUCAAAUAUGUGGCUGAAUUGGAGGGUAUUAUUAAAAGUUAGGAGGGUAGUUUGUUCAAGGGGUGAGGGCGACAUUCGCAGACAGAGAGCGAUGGGAGCCAUGGCCAUUGCACAGAGAGAAAGGGAGUGAUGGGGGAAAUUACAGACAGAAAAGGAAGGGAUGGGGGGGAUUUGAUGGAUGGUCACAGAGAGAGAUUGGGUGAGGGAUGUGAGAGGAGAUUACAGAGAGAUAAAUAAAAGGGAGGGAUCGGGGGAUGUGAGGGAUGGUCAGGGAGAGAAAUAGUGAGGGAGGGAGGGAUGGGGGGGCUGAUUUUCGGUUCCUCCUUCCAGAUUUGUUCCGUAAAAACCUGUUGGGUAGAAUUCAAUUUCCUCCCCCUUUCCCCUGAACGAAAAAUUCGAAACCUACAACUCAAAACUCACUCAUUUGUCGUCCCUCCUUGGCUUUCCGCUUUACUCAUCUCCCGGUGGUUCUCUCUCCAUACGAUUCCAUUUCGGUGAGUUCUUCGUUGCCCUCAUGAUUUCCCACUUUUAUUUUUGGGGCGUCCUUAGUCGUCGUUUUUAUCUGGGUUUACUGCAUUGUUGCUUUUAGUUUCUGGAUUUUUAUUUUUUUGGCACUUGGAUGAAUCGUGGUUAAUAAUUUCACAUCAUGGGAUUUUCGCACUUCUGAUGGAAUUGAGCGCGGGGAUUCGGGGUGGGGUUUUACUGAUAAUUUGUCUUCAUUCAAACGAAGGGUUAAAAUUUAUGAGUAUUAACAAAUUUUGUAAAUUAUUCUUAUACAUUUUAUUGAGGGAUCUAAUCGAUUUCUUUCUGUAGUGGGAUUGAAAUUGGGGCUUUGUGGUACUCUCUCUCGCUCACUCUCUCUCCUAUGUGUAUGAAUUGAGUUCUGCAGUGAGUUUGCAGGUGGGCGCGUUCACUAACUAAGCUUUCAAGGGAACCGAUCAACGGUUUGCUUGCUGGGGGAAUUCGGAGACUACCAGUGUAUGAUUUAGUUAUCAUUAAUUUUUUUACUUAAUUUUAUCCAUAUAUAAUAUGUGGGUAAAUUUAGAGGUCGCACUUGGUGCGAUGGCAAGUUCCUUCGCCCAUGAGCGGUAGGUCUCGGGUUCGAGACUUGGGAGCAGCCUCUCCAUAAAUGGGGGUAAGGCUAGCCGACAUUUACCUCUCCCAGACCCUGCGUAAAGCGGGAGCCUUGUGCACUGGGUACGAUCUUUUAUAAUAUGUGGGUAAAUUUAUACUAAACAAUUGUGAUAAGCCAAUAUGCUAUACGACUUUGAAAGCAUUGAUUUUGUGUUUAGUUUGCAUUUUUGCAUUGUGAAUGUUGAAUUUUGUGUUUAAUUUGGAUUUUUGUGUUUGAAUUUGUAGCAUGAUCUUCCGCUGCAGCAUCCAAAUUUUGCAUUUGUAAAUUGUCAAAGAAAAACGAAGUAUGAGGAAAUUAUAGGAGAUUGUGUCGGCUUUGGCCAUGAAGGGUAUCAGCAGCUUGUUCCCCCAUACAGGUGAUUAAUCGCAGUCUGUUCUAUUUGGAUGAGAAAGUGAUUGAAAAAUAUGAUUUUUUAUUUGUUGGUUGAUUUUGUAUAACUCCGCCGUGUAAGUUUAUCUUACAUUGCCGGUCCCAAGCCCGGAUAAAGGAGGAGGGGGAGGGCGUCAGGUAGUCGACAGCUGGCACUCCAUGAUCACGUCGAAUCCUUAUGAAAAUGAAUCCAGAACGAAAUCGCGCUAAAGCUAGGGCGUCACCCAUAAGUGGCGCGCUGUGUGGCCCGAGCACAGUGAUAAGUGAGCAAGGGUCGUUGUAUCUCCAUCGGCACCCGGAUGCAGUGUUAAAUGAGCAAGGGGCUAUAGAAACUUCUUUUCGAACGACUCCACUCAAAGUUGUUUGGGAGCAUAUGCUCCUAUCAACUUUACACGGGACACACAAAAGAAGUACUUUGAUCCUAUUAGACGGGGAAGGGUGAAGAAGCUAGGACAGAAGGGUAGAGUUCAAGAGAGCAAAAUGCGUUUAGGAACGUGGAAUAUAGGAACCUUGAACGGGAAAAUCUAUGGAAGUAGUAGAAGUUAUGGUGAGGAGAAGGAUAAAUAUUAUGUGCCUACAAGAAACUAAGUGGGUUGGUCGUAAGGCAAAGGAUCUAGAAAACUCAGGGUUUAAACUAUGGUAUUCGGGCACAAAUAGAACGAGAAACGGUGUUGGCAUCAUCGUGGACAAGACCUUGACACAAGAUGUUGUAGAUGUCAAGAGGGUAGGAGAUAGAAUCAUGGCAAUCAAGAUUGUAAUAGGACAAGAACUUAUCAAUGUGAUUAGUGCGUACGCACCUCAAGUAGGGUUGGAUACGAGUUCGAAGGAGAAAUUUUGGGAAGACCUUGGAGACUUGGUGCAAGGAAUUGCUCAGACGGAGAAGUUAUUUAUAGGAGGAGAUUUAAAUGGACACGUGGGCAGGGAGACAGGCAACUAUGGAGGUUUUCAUGGUGGCCAUGGUUUUGGGGAGAGAAACGAGGAUGGGGAAGCUAUCUUGGAUUUUGCAAUGGCAUAUGAUCUCUUCUUAGCCAACACCUUCUUUAAGAAGAGAGAAGAACAUGUGAUCACCUACAAGAGUGGGUCGUCAAAAACACAAAUAGAUUUUCUUCUAAUGAGGAAAGGGGAUCGUAUAACUUGUAAGGAUUGCAAAGUUAUACCAGGAGAGAGCGUGGCUAAUCAACAUCGCUUGUUGGUGAUGGAUGUACAUAUCAAAAGAGUGAGAAAAAAGAACAAGACUUGGAAGUGCCCAAGGACUAGAUGGUGGAAUCUAAAAGAAGAAAAACAAGCCAUUUUCAAAGAGAAAGUAAUCACCCAGUGUGUGUGGGAUAGAGAGGGGGAAGCUAACCAAAUGUGGGAUUCCAUGGCUAGUUGUAUCCGAAAAGUAGCAAAAGAGGUAUUAGGAGAGUCCAAGGGCUUUGCCCCACACCAAAAGGAAUCUUGGUGGUGGAAUGAGGAGGUACAAACAAAGGUGAAGGCUAAGAAGGAAUGUUGUAAAGCCUUAUACAAGGAUAGGACCGAUGAAAAUGGUGAAAGGUAUAGAAAAGCGAAGCAAGAGGCGAAGAAAGCUGUGAGAGAAGCUAAGUUAGCGGCUUAUGACGAUAUGUAUAAGCGACUAGAUACCAAAGAAGGAGAGUUGGAUAUCUAUAAACUAGCUAGAGCAAGGGAAAAGAAGACAAGGGACCUAAACCAAGUGAGGUGCAUCAAGGAUGAGGAUGGAAAGGUUCUUGCUACAGAGAACGCGGUUAAAGACAGAUGGAAAGGUUAUUUUCAUAAUCUUUUCAAUGAAGGACAUGAAAGGAGUGCUUCUUUAGGGGAGUUGAGUAACUCAGAAGAGUGUAGAAACUACUCUUUUUAUCGUAGAAUCCGGAAGGAAGAAGUGGUUGUAGCUUUGAAGAAGAUGAAGCAUAGAAAAGCAGUAGGCCCAGACGAUAUACCAAUCGAAGUGUGGAAAGUUUUGGGAGAGACAGGUAUAACAUGGCUCACUGACCUUUUCAAUAGGAUUUUGAAAACGAAGAAGAUGCCAAAUGAGUGGCGAACGAGCACUUUGGUGCCUAUCUACAAGAAUAAGGGCGAUGUACAAAAUUGCAUGAACUAUAGGGGUAUUAAGCUAAUGAGUCAUACAAUGAAGCUCUGGGAGAGAGUCAUUGAGCAUAGAUUGAGGCAAGAGACACGGGUUUCGGACAACCAAUUCGGGUUCAUGCCAGGGCGCUCAACCAUGGAGGCAAUCUAUCUCUUACGAAGAUUGAUGGAAAGAUAUAGAGAUGGGAAAAAGGAUUUACACAUGGUCUUUAUAGAUUUGGAAAAAGCGUAUGAUAGGGUCCCAAGAGACAUUCUUUGGAGGAUUUUAGAGAAGAAAGGAGUACGAGUAGCAUAUAUCCAAGCUAUACAGGAUAUGUAUGAAGGAGCAAAGACUGCCGUAAGAACUCAUGAAGGACAAACCGAAAGCUUUCCCAUAACUGUAGGAUUACAUCAAGGCUCAUCCUUAAGUCCUUACCUUUUUGCGUUGGUAAUGGAUGAGUUAACAGGACAUAUUCAAGAUGAUAUUCCUUGGUGUAUGCUUUUCGCAGACGAUAUAGUGUUGAUAGAUGAAACUCAGGAAGGGGUAAAUGCAAAGCUUAACCUUUGGAGAGAAGUGUUGGAAUCUAAAGGUCUUCGCCUAAGCCGAUCAAAGACAGAAUAUAUGGAGUGCAAGUUCAGUGCAAAUGGAGGCCAAAACGAGUUAGGGGUGAGGAUCGGAGAUCAAGAAAAUACCAAAGAGCGACCGUUUUCGUUACCUAGGAUCUAUCUUGCAAAAGAACGGAGAAUUAGAUGGAGAUCUCAACCAUAGAAUACAAGCUGGAUGGAUGAAGUGGAAGAGUGCAUCCGGCGUGUUGUGUGACCGCCGUAUGCCACUGAAGCUCAAGGGAAAAUUUUAUAGGACGGCAAUAAGGCCGGCGAUGCUGUAUGGCACAGAAUGUUGGGCGGUGAAGCAUCAACACGUACACAAAAUGGGUGUAGCGGAGAUGAGGAUGCUUCGUUGGAUGUGUGGGCACACGAGAAAGGAUAAGAUUAGGAAUGAGGAUAUCCGGGGUAAAGUAGGAGUAGCCGAAAUUGAAGGAAAGAUGAGAGAAAAUCGGUUACGGUGGUUUGGACAUGUGCAAAGAAGGCCUACUGACGCUCCGAUUAGAAGAUGCGACUAUGGGACAGAGGUUCAGGGCCGAAGGGGUAGAGGAAGACCUAGGAAAACUUUGGAAGAGACCCUAAGAAAAGACUUAGAGUACUUGGAUCUAACGGAGGACAUGACACAGGACAGAACACAAUGGCGUUCUAAGAUUCAUAUAGCCGAUCCCACUCAGUGACUUGGAUUUUCCAAGUCUCCAACCGAGAAGUUUUCCUCACUCGGGAAAUUAAGGGAACACUACCUCAACCUACAUGCUCCACUCACAAAGCUUCAACAUACAAGCUUCAACAAAAGAAAAUUCAAAGAACUUAGCGAAGAAGGCUUUGGUGUAUUUAACACAAUACGUUGAAAUGAAGGAAAGCUUAUUUAUUGAUAUCCCCGAUAAGUUACAAAUAUGUACAUAUACUUGAGUCAAAAUAAACAAACAAGAGGGAGCCUUCACAAAGGUUGCUUAGGAGAAGUCUCAGCAGUCGGUAGAGCCCCAGAAAGAGAAGGCACCGGAGGGGGAUCAUUCGGAGCCUCAGUACUGGACAGAACCCUAGAAGGAGGAGGCAUCAGAGGUUGAUCAUUUGGAGCUUCAUUACGCGGUACAGCCCCAGAAGACGAAGGCAAUAAAUGCCUUUGGAACAAACCCACAAAUCUCUGAUGAUCAAGUAAAACCUGACCAUCAGAUUCCUUCAUCUGGUCAAGCUUCCUCUUCAUGUUUGUAGCAUAGUCAUGUGCGAGCCGGUGCAACUGUUUAUUCUCAUGCUUGAGCCCUCUAAUCUCCUGUUUGAGACUCAUCACUUCAGCCGCCAAUGAUUCAACUUGGCGGGUUCGAGCAAAUAGGCGUUGGGCCAUAUUAGACACAGAACCUGCACACUGAACACUGAGAGCCAGAGAAUCCUUAACAGCCAACUCAUCAGACCGUUUGGAAAGUAGUCUGUUAUCUUUGGGAGUGAGAAGGUUCCUGGCCACUACCGCAGCGGUCAUAUCAUUCUUCAUCACGGAAUCCCCAACGGUAAGAGGACCAGUAGGGGAGACGAAGGAUGGGCGCCAUAUGUUGUCUGGAGAAGGCGGGGCUGCCUCUUCAACAAGGUUCAAGUCAAAACGACGGUCGGAGGGGCCAGACAUUUUCAAAGGUGUUGAAGAGAGAAGAGGUCGGACAAAUCAAGAUCUUAGAAGUGCAAGAAUGGAGCUUCUACUGGUGGAUAUUCAAGUGUGCUUUGGAACUUAAUGUCAGCCCCUAUAAAAAUCUGCACUCGACGAAGCUUCAGAAAUCGAAGAGGCGCCUGCUCAGAAAUCGAAGAGGCGUUUGCUUUCUCAAAAGCUGGGCUGCUCAGAGACCACGAGGGUCGAUCUCAGAAAUCGAAGAGGCGUUUGCUUUCUCAAAAGCUGGGCUGCUCAAAGACCACGAAGGCCGAUCUCAGAAAUCGAAGAGGCUUGCUUUCUCAAAAGCUGGGCUGCUCAGAGACCACGAGGGCCGAUCUCAGAAAUCGAAGAGGCACCUACUUUUCCAGCCUUGUCAGCACCUGUCACACGCACACUCAGCUUUGCGGAAAUUAUGGGCAUUCUGUCGAAGAUUUCUGGCGAAGUAGAAAGCACAUGAAUCGUACUGUUCAAUCACCCACUUCCCACACGCAACAGUAGCUCAUGGGUACCACAGAUAACUUUGCCAAAGUUCUCUGACAAAGUUGAGACACGUGAAGCUUGCAGCUCCCACUACAUCGCUCUGACCAAGAAGGGUAAAAGAAUUAGCAAAGAAACAACACUAACAAAGUUUAGACACAUAAAUUUUGAAGGUCUAGCUACCAUAUUAUUACCCACAAGGGUAAAGGAACAGUACCACUGCUGGAUAAUUGGAAAGUCCCGGUGUGUCAACCUCUGUGCUUCGUGGCAAGGUAGACUAGCAAACAUGCCCAACCUUUACUCACAUUCGAGAAAACACUCCCAACAAGAUUGCUUGCUCCAAAAUCGAAGAGGCACCGCCCUCCGAAUCUCGAGAGCCAGACUCCCAACAUGAUUACUUUCUCAAAAAUCGAAGAGAGGGUAAAGGAACAGUACCACUGCUGGAUAAUUGGAAAGUCCCUGUGUGUCAACCUCUGUGCUUCGUGGCAAGGUAGACUAGCAAACAUGCCCAACCUUUACUCACAUUCGAGAAAACACUCCCAACAAGAUUGCUUGCUCCAAAAUCGAAGAGGCACCGCCCCUCCGAAUCUCGAGAGCCAGACUCCCAACAUGAUUACUUUCUCAAAAAUCGAAGAGAGGGUAAAGGAACAGUACCACUGCUGGAUAAUUGGAAAGUCCCUGUGUGUCAACCUCUGUGCUUCGUGGCAAGGUAGACUAGCAAACAUGCCCAACCUUUACUCACAUUCGAGAAAACACUCCCAACAAGAUUGCUUGCUCCAAAAUCGAAGAGGCACCGCCCUCCGAAUCUCGAGAGCCAGACUCCCAACAUGAUUACUUUCUCAAAAAAUCGAAGAGACACCGCUCUCCGAAUCUCGAGAGCCAGACCCCCAGCAGGAUUGCUUUCUCAAAAAUCGAAGAGGCAUCGUUCUCCGAAUCUCGAGAGCCAGAUCCCCGACAGGAUUGCUUGUUCGAAAACCGAAGAGGCACCACUUUCCCAACUUCAAGAGCUGGAUCUCCUUGGAUAAAGCUUGUCUGUAAUCUUCACACGCAACAUCAGCUUUCCAGAUACCACAGACCACUUUUUCAAAGUGCUCUGACAGAGUUAAAACAUGUGAAGCUGGCAGCUCCCACUACCGUGCUAUGACCAAGCAGGGUAAAGGAAUAGCAUUAUUACUUGAUGUUAGGGAGACUCCUAUAUAUGUCGACCUCCAUCCCCAACGGACAGGCAGACCUGCAAAAAUGCUCAACCCUUCCUCUUAUCUGAGAGGGCACUCCCAACGAAGCCUUUCGAAAUAUUCAGCUUUCUUUCCCCCCGAUAAUACCUCUGUAAACAAGCUAUACUAGAGCAAGAAUAUCUCAUAUCAUCAGGGUUAAAAGCAAGAGUAUCCCAUAUCAUGCUUUUUCCCUGUCUUUUCCUUUGGCCUUGUUCUUACCUGCAAGACAAGGAGAAAGAGAGCAAUCAGUCAGCACUUGGAAUCAAGCUUCCAGCCAGGAACUGACUGCCUGGAACCCCUUACCUGAUUACUUACCUGGCAUUGCUCUCGAGUACUCAUCUUCAACAUCUUAUGCUUCCAGGGAAGAUACCGCAUCUGCCUGAGGAACAGAUAGGGCAAGUGAGAAGGAUACAAGGAAGCAUGUGGAGACAAGCGUAACAGCACACGUGCCGAUACAUCCAUUACUCUGUCAAAAGCAAAAGUAUCCCAUAUCAGCAGGGUCGAACGUACUCUAGAUUUGAUGGACUUGUUUUGACCCUCAAAUUCUUCAGUCGGCCUUAUACUCUGGAGGAAACCAGAAAACCCUCCAGCCCAGUUCAAGAAUAAGCCUGUGGAAAGUUACUUCUUCAAAAGCAAAAGUAUCCCAUAUCAUCUCUUCUCAUUUUUCUUCUCUUUAUCCUUCAUGCUGCCUGCAAGAUAGGGAGAAUGUGAACAAUCAGCCGGAGCUCUGAUUGCUUACCUUGUCUGUCACCUCUUUCAGCAGAUCCCCUAGCUCGGCGACUUGGGGGACUCCUACUACAUGGUUUGUAUCGCGCUUGACCAAGCCUGAAACUACAAGUAAGCUUCAAGUGACAAUUGAUACAUUACCUUGUGCAUCUCCACCAGUUACAGAUACCACCCCUGGAUGGAGGAAGAGUACUUCCAGAGAAGAUGCCACAUCUACCUAUGAGACAGAUAAGGAAAGUCAAGACGAUACCACACUCCGGUACUUAGAAGUUUCGUGGUUACGAGAUCAUUCUCCCACAAUAUUUCCUAAUGUCAUUUGUACUAAAUCAUUCACUUGUACUCACUAAAGGAGAGCUUGAACCUAUGUACUUGUGUAAACCCUUCACAAUUAAUGAGAACUCCUCUAUUCCGUGGACGUAGCCAAUCUGGGUGAACCACGUACAUCUUGUGUUUGCUUUCCUAUCUCUAUCCAUUUAUAUACUUAUCCACACACUAAUGACCGGAGCAAUCUAGCGAAGAUCACAAAAAAGUGACCGUUUUCGCUACCUAGGAUCUAUCUUGCAAGAGAACGGAGAAUUAGAUGGAGAUCUCAACCAUAGAAUACAAGCUGGAUGGAUGAAGUGUAAGAGUGCAUCCGGCGUGUUGUGUGACCGUCGUAGGCCACUGAAGCUCAAGGGAAAAUUUUAUAGGACGGCAAUAAGGCCAGCGAUGUUGUAUGGCACAGAAUGUUGGGCGGUGAAGCAUCAACACGUACACAAAAUGGGUGUAGCGGAGAUGAGGAUGCUUCGUGGGAUGUAUGGGCACACGAGAAAUGAUAAGAUUGGGAAUGAGGAUAUCCGAGGUAAAGUAGGAGUAGCCAAAAUUGAAGGAAAUAUGAGAGAAAAUCGGUUCUGGUGGUUUGGACAUAUGCAAAGAAGGCCUACUGACGCUCCGGUUCGAAAAUGUGACUACUGGACAGAGGUUCAGGACCGAAGGGGUAGAGGAAGACCUAGAAAAACUUUGGAAGAGACCCUAAGAAAAGACUUGAGUACUUGGAUCUAACGGAGGACAUGACACAAAACCGAGCGCAAUGGCGUUCUAGGAUUCAUAUAGCCGACCCCACUUAGUGGGAAAAGGCUUUGUUGUUGUUGUUGUUGGUUGAUUUUGUAUGGACGAUGUAUUAAUUUUUUUUUUUUUUUGGGAUUUUGUGUAUUGGGUAUUGUGUAGAACCAGCAAUGCAGGAUCUGAUCAGUCACGCCCGAAAAGGGGUUUGUUUCUCAAAUCACAUUAAUUAAUUAGAUUAUUAAUGUGCGUUGGAAGGCUCUUCAAUAUGAUUUCUAAUUUCUCCUUUCCAGCAUUCUCUUUUUGGUUUUUGGAGUAUGUAUGUGAUUUGUAUUUGAUUAUAGAAUAAAAAUUAAUAAAACACGAGAUGCAGCAAUUAAUUUGCAUCCUUAUGACAACACAUAUAUGAAAGUGCAUUCAAUUUCAAUGUGCGAAUGUGUGACAGGACAGGAUGUGCCUGCCUGCUGGUGGUGGUAUGCUUGCUGUUGUUUCUUGCGUUGUUAAUUUUUUGUGUGUUGAUUUGAUUAACAAUUCAAGCGUAUCUUAUUUUUUUUGUGUUGGUUAGCAGCCAGUUUUAUGGCCCCGAUCUAGUGAUGCUUCUCAGUGACUGGUAAUUGCAGUUCAUUGCCACCAGUUGGUCAGCUACCUGCUCUGAAAGAGCUCUACGUAGAAGGGAUGAAAGUUGUUAAGAGUGUUGGUGUUGAGUUGUACGGGGGAAAUCAACCAUUUCAAUGUUUAGAGAAGGUAAAGUUUCGGGAGAUGCCAGAGUGGGAGGAAUGGCAGCCUAGUCCAAGUGGAUGUGAAAGUCCAGACUUUCCUCAUCUUAAGGAGCUGAGGUUAUCCGAAUGUCCGAAGCUGAGAGGAAACUUGCCCACUCAUCUUCCCUCCUUGAAAACACUUUAUGUGAACAAGUGUGAGGUUCUACAUAAAAACAGGGCCAGUAAUACCCUGAACGUGGAAUCCUUACGAGGAUCUCUUGAAAAACUGACAAUAAAUGGAUGCCCGGGUCUCUCAUUGUUACUAGAGUCGAUGGAGACGCUGCCGUCGCUUCAGAAGCUUGAUAUUGAUAGUGUUGGUGGGAAAGAGUUGUUGGUGCAAAUGGUGCACAACAGCAAUCGUCUUCAAAGUUUUGACUUUAUAUAAAUGUUCCUCACCCUUGUCGUUCCCUACAAAUGGUCUGCCCACCACGCUGACGUCACCGAGCAUAACAGAUUGCAAGAAAUUAGAAUUCCUAUCACGUGAGAUGAUGGCCAAAUUGACUUCCCUUCAGUCUUUGCGUCUAUCCAACAGCUGUGAAUGCAAAGGCUUGAGUAAUUUUUGUGAGUCUGCUGUUUGGUUUUUUUUUCUUCAUUUUAGAGAUUUUUCUACUGUUUGGUUUUUGGGUUUUGUCUAAUUUUUGUGGUCUGCUUUAUAGAUUGUUCUCUUUGGAAGCUUCUUUCCAGCCUUGACCUUCUUCUUGCCUGGUGCCUUCUCAUUGAGUAUUGGAGGAGCAUUAAAACACAGGUGUGUGUGUUUUGUCGAUGUAAGAGAUGAACGACAUAAAAACAUCCGUCUUUGUAUUUUUUUGUGCUUUUUCUAACCCAUCAAUUUCUUUUGAGUCAACCAAAUAGUCCCAAAUUGCAACUUAUGUUGUGAGGUAUUAUUGUCUAAAAUUAAGUAUGCAUGUAUAUUUUAUGUUUGUGCGCGCGCACACCUCCGCAUGGUGUUAAUCUCUGUGGGUCAUCUAUGUAUAUGUAGACAUAUCUAUAUGUGUAUGUGUGGAAUGCAACAUAUCGGAUUUAGGUUAUACUGUGCAUAGUUUUAUUGCCUGUUAUUAUCUACGAUAUCACUAUGCCAUUUCUAUGCAGGCUCUGAAAGUUAUCCAUGAGCUUUAUAAGCACUUACCAUAAUUUAAGCAGUCUGUUUUGGGUUCUUUUUCAUUAGGUCAUUAGCUACAGAUUAAUGGAGAAACGAGGACCAUGCAACUGAUUUGGGUUCUUUUUCUAAUUUUCUGAUUUUGGGGUUUUGCAGGGAGUACUGAUGUACUGAUUUUCUGGGAUUUUUUUUGUCCUUGCAGGAUUUUUGGUCUUUGGAAUGGGUAUGUGUUGUUUUUAACGUUUCAGUUCUAGCUUGUUCCGUUCUUCGUUGCUUCGUGAUUCUCAUUUUUUAGUGUUGGGUGAUGGAAAUUUGUUCAAGUAGUUGGUAGUUUUUUUAGAAAGUUGGCAUUUUUAGUUAUAUUUUCUGUUUAAUCCUAAAUGUUAGACUGGAAAAUCAUUGAAAUGACGGUUUUUUAAAAACUCAUAAUUUUUUUGUUCUGGGAGUUAAAAGCAUCUUUUCCAGAUUGGUUAUAAGGGUUAUGUUCUCUUCAAUUGGUUCACCUAAUUUUGAUUAGUUUUAAGUUUUGUCCUUUUAAGUUUUGUCUUUUAAGUUUUGUUCUUUAAGUUGUCUUUUAAGUUUGUUCUCUAAGUUUUGUCUUUUAAGUUUUAUCUUCUGUGCUGUAAUGAGAGAUUUCUGUUGGCCUUUCGGAUUUUGGCAUGGGAAAGUUCACUUAUUUGUCUAAUUAGAUUGUGUAUGCCUUCGAUUCUUUAUUUAAUUGUUCUGUUUGUGUUCAGGUGUGAUGAUCUAAAUUUCAUAUGUUUGGAAUUAUUCACUUAACACCAAUUUGUUACAUUCAGAUCUCCACCCCACAUUUCACUAGUUCAAAUUCCAUAGAAGUCGGUUACUGCAGAUUGCGUCUACAAUUAGAUCAGAGAUCAACUGCUCUUUUGUUAUCCUGCAGAAGAUUGCUUUUGGGAAGGAUCUGAAGUAGUUUCUUUCUGUAAGUUUAUUCCCAUGUAGCUCUGUCUUUUCUAAUUGAUGGUGUUGAUAUUACACUGUAAUUCAUGAUGAUGAUUUAAUUGUUUAUUGAUUUGUAAUUGUUUGUGAAUAAUGUGGCAUAUAUGACUUGCAAUAUGUGUUUGUAUGAAAGGGAUGACAUAUUAUGUUGCUGACUUAAUUGUUUAUGUUUUUCAUAUUUGCGAAUGGUGUUAUGAUCAAUUAGGUGAUUGCUGACCUGUGACUUUGUUUGGAGCUCAAAUUUUGUGAGCAUUACAUUGGAUUGUUUUGAUGUUGUUUUGGUUGACAAUGCAGGGAUAGGAGAAACAAAGAGGAUGACACUUAUAACUGCCCUUCCCCAUCGGCCGUCUUCAAAUUUGGAUCACAAGAAGGGAGCAACAUAGGUGUUUUCCUUCUUCAUUUAGAUAUGGUUAGUGUAAAUAAUUGGACAAAAGAGCCAAACAAACCCUGUUCUCUCAAAUGGAGUCGAUGAUGUGGUCGAUGGCCACCAGCCCCAACUCAAGAGUUUGGCCUUCAUAUAAUUGGAUUGUAGUAUAAUUUUAUUUUGGUUCAUUUCUUUUUUCCUUUAUAUAAGUGCAGGUGUUGUGAUGUUUUGAAUAAAGGGUGAUGAAAGGUGGUUCACACACUUCCUCCUUACUUAAAGCAAGUGGAGAUGAUGGGUUGUAUAAAAAGAAAAACUUGCCAGGUACUUCGAUUUUCUAUUUUAUUAAUUAUUGUUUGGUUUUCCAAAUGUUGUAUUCACAAAGAGAGACCAAUGAUGUCUUUGAGAAACAAGUUUCUUUGUCUACAUUGCGAGAAUUUGCAGUUUGCAACUUUCAUUGGUUAUUAUAUUUGAUUGAGUUAAACUUGGAUUUCUGGAUUUUGACUUUUUCGUUUGUUUCUUUGUUGUAGAGUUGGCUUCAUUUCAUUCCAGUAACUCUAUUCCAGUAACUCUCUAAAAUAGGGCCAAGAACUCACUAAAUAGGUAGUCAAGAGGAAUUCAGUUUUGCCUUCAAUUUUUGCCUUCUGUUUACAUUCUUCCUGGAUGCACUCUCACCGCUUCUCUCGCUUACCACUUUUGUCUCACUCACCGCUUCAUCUCUUCUGUUGCUUACAAGGUCGUGUCAUAUAUUUUUUUAAUUUUUGUGUGUUUAAUUUAUUGAAUAUUUGAAAAAAGAGAUAAAAUUUUCAAUUUACAAUUACUGAUAUGAUGUUUGUUUUGAAAAUCAUUAAGGUGAAUGGAGAGAUUUACAACCAUGAAGAGCUGAGGAGCCGUUUGCCAAAUCAGAUUUAUAAGGUCUCAUCAAUUAUAAAUAAACGACUUUUCAUUCCCAAUGACCUUUAUCGUUUUUCUUAAUGGGUUAGCUGAACAUGAGGUAGAUGCUGACUUUAUAAAAUAUGAGAAUGUUUUAGGAUUUCAUUCUAAUUUUUUGGCUGUUUGAUUACUUUGCUUUUCGUAAUUUGUUUUGCUUAUCGUCAAUUGGAUGGGACAACAUAUUUUUGUAACCAGUUUGUACUUUUUUUUUUUGUGGAAACUAACCAGUAUGUACUUUUACCAUCUCGGUUUUGAUGGAAUUGGAGCUUUCAGUAAUGGGUUCUGAGGGAAUUGGAGUUUUGAGUAAUGGGUUUUUUAACAACUAUAGUAUCAUUUGUGAUUCUUUUAUUUAUAAGAUAUUAUAUAGGAAACUGUUAUUAGCACUCUAAUAAUCUUAUUCUACACUCGCGACAAGUGUAUUUUUCUUUCUAAUUAUGGAAAGUUUGGAGUGCAAAAUGAGAAUUUUGGAGUGCCAAUAACAAUUCCCUAUUAUAUAUAGCUCUACUAAGAAGGCGACUGUAUAUGUCUUCAUCCUGUUAAAUUGUAUAUGGCUCUUGAUGUCGGCUGAAUUAAAUCAAAAUGAAAACCAAGCUGCUGAUCUUACCAGCCCAUAUCACUUAUCACUUAUUUAAAUUAUUUGAAGAUGCAUACGUGGAUUGGUGAUUUUGUUGGAUUCACUUAGCUCAAAUAUAUGUUAUCUGAGUCGCUACAUUUGAGAAUGUGAUUCUGUUCCUACCACCAUUUUGCCCACUUUUUGUGGAAAUUAUUCAUUCCUGUUGUGAAUAAUAUCCCCGGCAGCGAAGUGCGGGCGCAUUUUCUAGUUUAAGUUAAAUCACACAAUGGGUCAUCAAUAAUGACAAACUCGUCAUUUAUGCGAGUCAAACAUGAGACCACCUACCUACUAGUUUAGUGGAAUACCACAAGUGACAUGUUGAUACCUUUAAAUCUCAUAUAAUGGAUUGCAGAAUUAGGAUAUACCUAGUCUAAUUUAGUCAGUGCGUGAACCCGAACAAUUAACCAGGGUUUUAUUCUUGCUUGAAUGUUUGUAAUAUGUUCCUAGUUUGACAAGGCAAUUAUAUUUCCGACUACAAAAGUUAUUAAUUUAGUCGAGAAUUGACGCACCUGAAAUGGUGUGAGGAAAACAUGUAGACACAUCAGACGCGGUCCAUCCUGAGCAUUGUGUAUUAAGGAUAAAGCUCAAAGCCAUACAUGAGGGCAUUGUGUAUGUCUUUAUAAGAGAAGUUGCUGUAGUCCUCAACGUGGCCGGCAGCCAAACUCAUCCACUCUACACUGCAACCCUCAUCCAAAUCCCAUGCUUCCAACCUGCCCCCGACAUAGUCAUCGACCAUGACAUAGCUAUACGUUUUUGGUUGACUCGAAGAAGAAGAAGAAGAAGAAGUAUUAUUCAAGCAUGGAGCAGUGUCCACGUACAGAGAAGAAUUCGAUGGAUUCGAACACUUCAAGUAAUAUAUAGAUAGAGAAUUGAUGUCAUAGGUGGGCCAAUAUAGAGAAUCGAUGUCCUCGAUGGGCGGAAUAUUUUGAGACAUGGAAGAGCAAUUGUUGUUGUCAAGCCCAGGAUCUAGAAGUCGGAUUGUUUUGUUAAUGUAGUUGAUUGCCUGGACAUAGUAUUUUCCGGAAGAAGGUAGGUCUAGUACUGUAAUGUUGCUCUCACAGGACAGAGUAAACCUUACGUCGCCACAGUACUUUGGAUCAUCGUUCAGUCGAAAAGGAUGGCUUAUGUUGUGGAUAUGGCCGCAGGAUGAAGUGCAGGACUUGGCACUACUGUUGUCAGCGUUACAAGUUUCACUGCAAAAGCAAAGAAGAAGAAAGGCUAAACUUAAGGUGAAGGACCUGGUUCCACUGAUUUCCAUUGCUCUGAGAGAGAGAGAGAGAGAGAGAGGGCACUAUAGCUUAAACACCAAGGAGUUAUAUAAUAUGGGAGGGGUUAAAGCACCUCGCUUAAAGUUGCAGUAAGCCCGUCAAAUAUCCUAGGGAAAAGUCGGUCAAUGCUGUCCUAUAGAGAAAAGUCGGCCUUGAUGUUUGACACGGUCACACUCUCUCUCUCUCUCUCUCUCUCUCUCAUUGACGAGGGACACUGUAAUUGAAAAAAAAAAUUGUUAUUCAGAGAUAGAUCUUGAAAUUCUUAUUUUAUAUAAAAAAAAGGGGUAUUUAGAUUUUAGGACCUAUAUAAGAUAAUUUUUAGAUUAUAAGGUUUCAAAAUCUUAUUUUAGUCCCUAAUUUAAUAUUCAUCGCCACAUCAUAUUAUAAGAUACCUCUAUUACCUACCAUAUUUACAAACUUUGCCAUUUAAAUUGUCAACCUAUUCUAUAAUUAAGGCUUAAAUAUAUUCCGUUAAUAAACCAUUCGUCAAUAAGAUAAAUCCAACUAUGGUAAAUUAUACUAAUUUAUACUUGCUGACAAACAAAUUAAGUCUAUAGUAAUUUUAGGUCAGUCACCUUAAGAAGUCGAAGAUGAAAAAAUCAAAUACAAAACAAUAGGUUAAAAAAAUUAAAUAAUAACCCUUAAUAUAUAUAUAUAUAUAUAUAUAUAUAUAUAUCACAAAAAAAAAGUAUAACAACUCCUUAUUGUCUAUAUAUAGGAAUUGCAUAAGUGUCGGUACAUAUGUGUAGGUACAUACAUGCACAUAGGUACGGAAGUAUCGGUAUGGAAGUGCCGGUACAUACGUACACAUAGGUACGAAAAUAUUGAUACGUUAGCAUCGGUACAAAAGUAUCGGUGCGGAAGUGUCGAUACUUAUGUACAUAUAUAUAGGUACGCAAAUAUUGAUACAUAAACAUCAAAAGAAAAAAUCGGUAGAUUCGAUGUAUGAGAAGGUAAAAAUAAAUCAUCAACACUAGAAAAAAAUGAUAAAAGUAAAUCAUGCACUAUUAGAUGCAUAAGAAGAAGAAAUAUUAGAUGUGGAUGGUGGCCCUAGCCCUCUCUUCUAACACGGUUGAAGAUAAUUUUUUGGGUUGGACAAAAAGUUUCAUUUUUAAGGAGAACCAUUUAUGUUAGCAAUAAAACUGAAAAGUUAUAAAUAAAAUAAAUAUAAGACAUUAUAAUUCACUCAAGGAUAAUAUAGGAAGAAAAAAAUUACAUAAAAGGAAUUAACUCUGACAUUAAAUAUAAAUGCUGACUUGGACAUAAGUCAAAGGACUAUAAUUAGUUUUUUAUCUUGGUUAAGGUUUUAGUCUAAAGAUAAUCUUUUUCAAGGAUUAAUAUCUAGUUUCCUAUAAAAAAAAACACCUAAUAUUAAUCAUUCAAAUGAAAUUGUUAAAAUUAAGUAUAAAUAAUACAUAAUGAAAACUGAACACAUACAAUCAACGGUCACGACCAUGAAAUCCUCCGGAUCCUCAGAAAAAAAUCCGACGAUGAUCUUUUUCUGUGUAAAAUAAUUUGAGGGUAUAAUACUGGAUGUGCGAUUAAACCGAAGAACCCACCCACCUCCAUCUUCUCUGACCAACUUGAACCCAGCCACUACUACAUGUCAUCCCGACAACCCACUCUCAGCUUCCCAAACCGCCAUUUUUCACCCAAUGGAACAUUUAAAGAAAAAAUCCAUCUGCAAAUCGAAAACCACCGAAAAAAAUUAAAUCAGAUACAUUGGAAAAAACGCAAAACUCAAUGGAACAACACUGGCGUGGAAGAGAAAAAAAGCAGAAGGUGAGAAUGGAGAGAAAGAAGCGAACGGAAAGAAAAAGCAAAGAAGAGGUUGGAAACGGAACAACAGAAGAACAAUAGAAGAACAGAAAUGGGUAUGGGAAACGGAACAACAGAACAAAAAGCAGGCGGUGUAUAGAGCAAGAAAAGCAAACCUCACGAUGACCAACACGUGCUAAGAGAGGCCCCGGUUCACUGUGUAUCACAUUUUUUAAUAUUUUUUUUGGUCUUCCCACCGGCUAUACAUGGGAUUCCAAAAUUAAGAAGGUAUAAAUUUUUAUUGUUUCUUGUGCCACAAACCAUGUGGCCCAGUCUUAAUCACAUUUUUUAAAUAUUUUUUUUGCUCUUCCCAUCAGCAGUACAUGGGUUAAAAAAAUUAGGAAAGUAUAAAUUUUUAUUGUUUGUUGUGUCACAAACCACGUUGCCCGGUUUUAAUCACAUUUUUUUAAUAUUUUUUUGUCUGCCCACCAGCUAGGUUUAAAGAAUUAAAAAAGGACUAAAAGAAAGACUCCACAGAUGGAGGAACAUGGGAAUAGAAAGGGCAAAUUUGGGAUUUUACUGUACAAAAAAGACAAAAAGUAACUGCUGAAGACUAACUUGAGGGGCAUUUUGGUCUGCACACUGCCCUAGAACAGUAACCAUCGGAUUGGGUUUUAGUAUAUAUAGAAUAUGUUUAGAUAAGGACAAUAAACUUAGAAUUUUGCCAAAAGUCAGAAUUUAUAAAUUGAUACAAUCAAUUCAUUUGUUUGGAUUCAUAAACAUAGAAAUUUAGACUUUCCGCGUGAGAAAAAACUUGGAAUUUGGGACCUUCAAUUCUCAUGUUUAAAUUUCAUGUAAAUAGGUGUCAUUUAUAAAUUUCAGUAAGUGAGAGUUUAAAAAUAACAAACAUGUAUUCAAAUUUCAUUCCUCCUUUGGUUAACCAAAAAAGAAAAUUUAUAAAUUCUAGAAAAUAAAAUUUCUUUAUUUUAAUUUCUGUUAUUUUAAAAUUCUUAGGGCUUGUUUGGUAUUCUACUUGAAUCCAACUUUUUAAACUAAAAAAUAAUUUUCAAGUUUUAGGCCUUAAAAACUUAUUUGGUAGAACUAUUUAAAAAAACUGAACUUAAGACUAACUAAAAAAUAUAAUAUAUUAUCUAAAAACACAAAAAAUGAGUUUUUAGAAUUUUUAAACUUAAAUUCACUCAUUUCUUUUCUCUCCCUCCUCCCCUCUCACUCCAAAUCUCUCUCUCUCUCUCUCUUUUCUUCUUUCUCUCUCCCCUUCUCUUUUUUUUAACCUUUUUUUGUCUCUCAUCUAAUCCGCUCUCUUCAUUUUCUCGGUUCUUUCUCUCACUCAUAUUCCUCUCUAUCUCCUCCAAUUCUCUCUCUUCAUUCUUUUUCAACCAAUAAUUUCUUACUUUUUUCCUCUUCUCUCCUCUUGAUUCUCUCUCUUCAUUCUUUUUCAACCAAUCAUUUUUUACUUUUUUUCCUUCUCUCCUCUUUCUCCCUCGACUUCCUCUUUUUGGAUCUCUUUGUUCAGUUUGAGCUGUAAGAUUUAAAAUUAUUUUAAAUCGUAUACCAAACAAGUUUUUGAGUCUUAAAGAAAAUUGUUUUUCAAAAAAUGUUCUUAAGAAAUGUUUUGAGAAAUGAUAAAAAAUUUCAAAUAAGAUACCAAACAAGCCCUUAAUAAUCUUAAAUUUUCCCAUCCAAACAAAAAAUUUUCUUGUCAUAGAACUUUCAAUUGGAAUCAAAGAAGACAAUCUUUUCACAACUAAUUAUUCUCACCAAAAGCAAUUUUUAUUUUAAAGCAAUCAAUACCAAACUGCAAAAGCAAAGUAGGAAGGCUAAAAUUAAGGUGAAGAACCUGCUUCCACUAAUUUCCUUAGGAGGGAGAGA